CUCAACACCAGAUGCAAUGCAACAAAGUAAUUAAUGCUCAGAACUCAGAGCUGGGUAUGAAUCAAGGAUCCUUUACUUAGUAGUUAACUAGAAGACUGGGACUAGUUAAUUUCUCCAGUGCUCAGCUUCUUAUCUACAGGUAUCUGCUGAAUCCUCCAAGGGGAACAGAAUAAGGGGAAGAUCCCUGGAGAUCAGAUUCUCAGAUCCAGUAUCCCGUGUGCUGACCUGCCAUGACAAACACUGGCAGGGAGCCUGCCAUAGAGGAAAAGAGUAAGAAUUGGCUGAGUUCACAUAUGGGCUCCAUCAAUAACUAGCGGCCAGGUGAGAUUAGCUGCCCAGGUGAUGCAAAUCCUGCUGGUUCAUAACCACACUGAAUAGAAUCUAAGUACACUUCCUGAAGAAAAACAGUAUCAUAGGAACCAUUUCAAGUAUCAUCACUGUGCCAUCUUUGGGAAGAAUGAGAAAAUAGCCACUGCAAUAAUUUUCUGGAGGGCUAUUUUUUCCUAUGGGACACUGAUGGAGGAAGACCACAGCCCAUUGACUAGAAAAAGGCCUGGAAUGGAGUUCACGCCCUCAGAGCUCGUGCAGGAGCCAUCUAUGAACUACAAGCACAUUGACUCCGUAUCCUCACAUGAGCCCUGGGAGGCAGCCACUGUUAAUAUCCUCAUUUUAUGGAUGAGGAAACUGUUGCCCUGUUAAAGCUUAAUCAGCUUUAUUAUUUGCUUCCCAUCACUGCUGUCACAACUUGCCACAAACUCACUGAUGUCACACAACACAAAGUUAUUAUCUUAUGGUUUGGGAGGUCAGAUGUCCAAAGUUGGUCUCCUUGGGCUAAAAUCAAGGUGUCAGUGAGGUUGGUUCCUUCUGAAA
rnacentral:lncRNA from 1 species